ACGGCGUUGGAAUGGAAGCCGGAAGUGAAAGCUGUGCGUGUAAAACUCUUGUUUCCCUACCUCUAUAUGAAGGACUCCUUAAGGGCCUUUAAUGUUCUCUGCGCAUGCUCCUUAGUGCACGCGCGCAUGAAGCGCCAUUUCCACGCCGUCAAUCGCAAUGACGUAGCGAGCAUAGGGUGGGGUUUAUGCAUAGACGCUUGUGUUGGGUACUGUAGGGGGCGUGGCCAACUCAACAGGCUGCCCCUCCUUUCUUCACCGCCUACCUCAGCGCGGAUUGGCCAUGCUGACCCUAUGAGGCGGGCUCAAAAUGACAAGCCUGCCCGCUGAUUUGCAGAAAUGAAACAGAUGCUUUCAAGGAUCGGUGGGGGAGUGGCUAAUGAAGCGCCUCAGACAAUGGUGAAAUUUUCUAUCACAGCAGAAGCGUGAGGUUUUUAAGGGUCUCACGCUAAAAUUUGCUGUGGUGAUUUUUGAAGAAGAUAGAGUACACUGCAGGGUUCAUCAAGGGAACCACUGAUUGACACAACCAGGGCCAGCACUGAUGCAUCAUGGGAUAAUUGGCUUUCCUCAGAAUAUCUCCCUUGAGCCUCUGCUUCCCCUUGACACAACCAGGGCCAGCACUGAUGCACCAUGGGAAAAUUUGGCUUUCCUCAGAAUAUCUCCCUUGAGCCUCUGCUUCCCCCUGACACAACCAGGGCCAGCACUGAUGCACCAUGGGAUAAUUGGCUUUCCUCAGCCUCUUGGUAUAGUGAAUGCCUGAGUUUAUGAUACACACCAAAGACAGAGGUUUUUCAAAUUCCGAUUCAGAAUAAUAAAAAAGUCUUUAUUAUUCCACAAACCUGCAAGUUAUUAGCAAAAAAUUACUGCUUGCCUGCCCAUAUGUAGCGGUGUUAGUAACUUUGAAAGUGAGGGGAGGGCAGAGGCAAAUUUGCAAAGCUCCUCCCACUGCUCACCUGGAGGCAAUCCUUACCCAAAAGUGAGCAGCUGUUUUCAAUUCUAAAACUGAAUUAAAAUAAAUAAAUAUACUAGAACUACCAAAUCACAACCUGGAUAGCCAUGCUUUCCUUUUAACUGCCUUCAGCCAUGGCUUCUCCCACCCUUUUUUUAGCCCUCUUCCCAUGCUGUCUUUCUGGGGCAAAAACAUGCAGACAAGAGGAAGGAGAUUAGAAGAAGGGGAGGGGGAAGCAGCUGAAGACAUCAUCCCUUUUGGAGGAUGCACCAUAGCACAUUCCCAUGGAGGCAAAUCAUGGCAUUGGGGUGUUAGGUGUCUUGUGCCCAAGCUGUGUUUCGUUCAGCAAAAUCUGUGUGAGGCAAGAGGAUAGAAAGUCAGCCAGCAAAUAAGCCAAAGCUCUCUGACCUACUUUCUUCCUACGCUUUGGGAGCCCUUGGCCUUAAAACAGGAAGCACCAGGUAUAAGUGGCUCAUUAAUGUCUUCCUGGAGGCCUUUACUGAACCCUGCCAAUCUUCUUUCCUUCCUACUCCUUUUCCAAGUCAAUUAAUGAAGGGACCAGUCACCUCCUUUUUGGAACUUGGGUUGGUAUCAAGGACCACCACAAUGAUUGGGCAUCUGCCAAGGCACCACAUGACAGGAGGGUGCUCACUUCCAAAAGCCUCUUGGACCUCCUCCGCAUCAGCAUCAUUGCAACCCACCUGUUUAAUUGCCUACCUUUUGGCCCAGGAAAUGAGGAGUGGCGAGGAGGUGCAGGAAAUUCCACUGCCUGCAGGUGGGGGUGUUUUUGUCAAAACUGCUGACCAUUUUUUUUUUUUGCUUUUGAGCUAUUGUUUUUUAAAAAAUGCACCAACAAAUCAACACUUCAGAAAUUUUCGGAGUUCUACCAUUGCCCGAGGAACACGGGUGGCGCUGUGGGUUAAACCACAGAGCCUAGGGCUUGCCGAUCAGAAGGUCAGCGGUUCGAAUCCUUGCGACGGGGUGAGCUCCCGCUGCUCAGUCCCUGCUCCUGCCAACCUAGCAGUUCGAAAGCACGUCAGCGUGCAAGUAGAUAAAUAGGUACCACUCCGACAGGAAGGUAAACGGCGUUUCCAUGUGCUGCUCUGGUUCGCCAGAAGCGGCUUAGUCAUGCUGGCCACAUGACCCAGAAGCUGUAUGCCUGCUCCCUCAGCCAAUAAAGCGUGAUGAGCGCCGCAACCCCAGAGUCGGCCACGACUGGACCUAAAGGUUUCCUGCUUGCUCAACAGCUUUCUGCCUGGCAAGCCAAUGGGUGGUAGAAAUGAGGAAGAGGAGAGGCAGAUAAUGGCAGUGAGGAGUUUGUCUCACUGAGGCGGGAUGUGGUUCGUAGAAGGUGGCUUGCCCAAGGGCCCCCCAAAAUCUGCGACAGACACUGUUCAUCUCUGAUGAUAUCUAGAUUGUAAGGGCCUGGAGGCAUGGAUGGUGCAAUAAAUAAGAGUGAUUAUCUAACAUCUGCUAACAGAUGCUGGCAGAGGCACAGAAAGAUCCAACCGUUGAAUAAGCCAUGCAGUCAUCCUGAUAUAAUUACCUGUCCCAUCUAUGUUAGGGGCUUGGAAGUGUUUACAAGUUCCUGUGCUUUUUGCUGGCAUGCUCCUCUGUUAGGUCAACAUGUAUUCCAAGACAUUUUUGAGCGAGAUGGAUUACCAAAUAAGAGGAAAGGAACUAUCCCAGGGAUUGCGGCCCUAAGCCUGAAAAAGGUUUCCCACCUCUCUUGUGUAGAAUUGCAUCUUCAAUAACUAUUUUGCAUUUUUGCUGGGGCAGGCACACACCCUUGUUGGCCUGUGUGUUUGGAAUGUUGACUAAUGUGAUUUUGUUACCCUCAAAGGUGAAGAGCAAAAGACCAAGCACCCAUGAAUGUAUGACAUAAAAUGACACUUUUAAUUUUGCUCAAAUUGUGAACAAAUAUAACCCCCCUCAAAAAAAGCGCAAUUUUGAGUGCAAAAAUAUUACAAAAUAUAGCAGGUAGGGUGUGAGCUAUUGUUUCUUCUCUCUCUCUUUCUCUCUCUCCCCCAAUAGCACAAUACCAGUUCUUCUGAAGACUGGUUGCUUUUAUAAAAAAUAAAGAGCAAAGUUGCAGAAAAAGCCAUAUUCUUGAAACCGGACCAAAGUAUGUUAAAAAAACAACAGAACUUGUGAAUAACUUUGCAAACAACUUGUGCACGUAAACAGACAGAGGCUGGGGACAAACAGCGGAUGAUUCAUCAUCAUGCUUUGCUCGGAAGCUUCCAGACACAUCUGGCUGACAGCUGUUGCAAAGUGAGUGCUAGGCCAGAUGGCAUCUUGAUCUGGUCCAGCUCAGUAUUUCUUCCAUAGGUUCUAUCCACCCACCUCAAAUUUCUUAUUAGGAGAAUCUGGGCUCAGGCUUCAACUCCUGGUCUAGUAGGACUUCUCAUAUAUAGCAGCCUAUAGGGAUAGAUGAGUGCAGUCUUCCCAAACCUGGCAUACACACACACACACACACCCAGAUGUUUGUAGGAGAUUUAUGCAGCCAAAUCUGCAUAAAUUGUGCAUAAUAGUAAGAAAUGUGUUAAGGAUCACAGAGUUCUUAAAUGCUAAAGAAGUUUCAGAUUGGUCCUAUGGCAAGGGAUAAAAUAAAGGUUGUUCCCUGUUCCUUUAUCUCUCUCUUAUUUUUGAACCAUAUAACUGACCAGAUGCAUAAGGCUGGAGCUCCUAAGCCCAGACUCCAUGUUUGAAGAUACUUUUCAUAUUUUUGUACUCAUGAAGUUUUUAUCUGUGUUGUUUCUGCUGUAGCAUUGAGUGAGACCGCUGAUUACUGUAAAUAAAGCAUUUUAGCUUACUUAA